CGGAGGGUGCGAGCGUUGUCCGGAAUCACUGGGCGUAAAGGGCGCGUAGGCGGCCUGAUAAGUAGGGGGUGAAAUCCUGCGGCUUAACCGCAGGGCUGCCUUCUAAACUGUCGGGCUCGAGCACGGUAGAGGCAGAUGGAAUUCCCGGUGUAGCGGUGGAAUGCGUAGAGAUCGGGAAGAACAUCAGUGGCGAAGGCGGUCUGCUGGGCCGUUGCUGACGCUGAGGCGCGACAGCGUGGGGAGCAAACAGGAUUAGAUACCCUGGUAGUCCACGCCGUAAACGAUGGACACUAGGCGUCGGGGGGAGCGACCCUCCCGGUGCCGUCGCUAACGCAGUAAGUGUCCCGCCUGGGGAGUACGGCCGCAAGGCUG
rnacentral:rRNA from 1 species